rnacentral:rRNA from 1 species
AUACGGAGGGUGCAAGCGUUAAUCGGAAUUACUGGGCGUAAAGCGUACGUAGGCGGUUAUUUAAGUCAGAUGUGAAAGCCCCGGGCUUAACUUGGGAACUGCAUUUGAAACUGGGUAACUAGAGUUUAGUAGAGGGGAGUGGAAUUUCAGGUGUGGCGGUGAAAUGCGUAGAGAUCUGAAGGAACACCAGUGGCGAAGGCGACUCCCUGGACUAAAACUGACGCUGAGGUACGAAAGCGUGGGUAGCAAACAGGAUUAGAAACCCUUGUAGUCC